UACAAUUUACAUCAAGCAUUUGCCAUUAUCGGAAAAAAUUACAAGGAAAAACAGCGCGUGAGAAUAAGAAGAUAAUCAUUCCUACGUUUUCUUACAAGGCACACUCGCGUCUCGUGCUAAAAUGACGACUAUCUAUCGACUAAAUUAAUAAUUAAAAAAAUAACCACUGAGUUAUGCUAAACUGUGAUUAUCUGUGAUAUAAUUCGAUUAAAAUAAAUUUGAAAUUACGCGCCACAUUCAAAAAUAGAAUCGGUUAUUUUUAGUCUAUUUAUUUUUUUUUAUCUUAAAUUUGUUCGAUUUUUAAUUGUCGUAUUCUUUAAGUGAUUAUUCACAACGUUUAGAUUUGCUCUCUAAUUCAAAAUAGUUGUUUACUUGUUAAGUGCGCGUAAUUGGAGUUGUGGGUUUAAUAGUGAGUUUGAAAUUAAGUGUUAAGUAAUUAUGUUGGGAAAACAUUCCAAACUUUGUUUCGGCGCGUCGCUUGCUGCUUUGGUCGUCUCAGUUAUAUUGGCGGCAUGGGGCUUCCCAAAGAUUGUAAGCAAGCAAAUUCAAAAGCAACUACAAAUCGAGAACUCAUCGAUGAUGUUCGAGAACUGGCGAGUUCUACCGAUGCCGUUACAGUUUAAAAUAAACCUGUUCAACGUUACCAAUGUGGAGGAAAUCAACCGGGGAAGGAAGCCGAAGCUGGUGGAAGUCGGGCCUUAUGUUUACAAGGAAUACAGGGAGAAGAUAAUACUGGGGUAUGGUGAGAAUGACACCAUAAAAUACAUGCUGAAGAAGACCUUCCACUUCGACGCGGAGGCUUCAGCUCCGUUAACCCAGGAUGACGAGCUGACUGUCAUCAACUUCUCUUACAUGGCUGCCCUUCUAACAGUGGGUGACAUGAUGCCAUCAUUUAUUCCCUCCAUCAACAAGGGGUUUGAGGAGUUCUACUCCAACCUUCAAGACGCCUUCAUGACCGUGAAGGUCAGGGAUUUGCUGUUCGACGGGAUCUACCUCAACUGUGUUGGGAACCAGUCCUCUUUGGGCCUCAUUUGCGCUCAAAUAAAAUCUGACCUCCCCCCCACAAUGAGAGUGGCUGAAGACGGGAAUGGUUUCUACUUCUCCAUGUUUUCACAUCUCAACUUAACAGCCUCCGGACCUUACGACAUGGUCCGAGGCACUCAGAACCUUCAAGAACUGGGUCAUAUAGUUUCAUACAAGGACAAGGAUCGCAUGACAGCGUGGGGCAGUGAUCCCUACUGCGGGAAACUGAACGGCUCCGACGGCUCCAUAUUCCCGCCGAUACAGGAGCGGGCUCCCGCGAGACUGUACACCUUCCAGCCGGACAUCUGCAGAUCCAUAUACAUAAGCCUGGUAGGAGAGACAAAAGUUUUCAACAUGUCCGCAUACCACUACGAGUUCACUGAAUCCACUUUGGCAGCAAAAAGCGCGAAUCCUGACAACAAAUGCUUUUGCAAAAAAAACUGGAGCGCCAAUCACGAUGGAUGCUUGAUAAUGGGCGUUCUCAACGUGAUGCCGUGUCAGAAGGCUCCCGCCAUAGUCUCGUUGCCACAUUUCUACCUGGCCUCCGAGGAGUUGCUGGAGUUCUUCGAGUCCGGCAUCAACCCUGACAGGGAGAAGCAUAACACCUACGUGUAUCUCGAUCCUGUCACCGGGGUAGUACUAAAAGGGGUUCAGAGAUUACAGUUCAAUGUUGAACUUCGUCAGAUGAACAUCCCUCAGCUGGAGAAAGUUCCUACAGGAUUGUUCCCUCUGCUGUGGAUUGAAGAGAGCGCGGAAAUCCCACGGGAGCUCCAAACAGAACUGCGGCAGUCCCACAGCGCAUUACGCUACGUGGAGACGGCGCGCUGGGCGCUGCUCGCUAUAGCGCUCGCCGCGGCCAUAGCCAGCGGCGUCGCUGCGGCCAGAGCUGGUAAUGUAUAGCGCGCGUCGCUGUCUGCUGCGGGGUGGACAGAGCCAGUCCCACAGCGCAUUACGCUACGUGGAGACGGCGCGCUGGGCGCUGCUCGCUAUAGCGCUCGCCGCGGCCAUAGCCAGCGGCGUCGCUGCGGCCAGAGCUGGCGGUCUCCCGCUGUGCCCGCGGAACAACAACGCGGUGAGCUUCGUGCUGCGGCCGGCGCCGCACGGCAUCGACGUUAAUAAAGGCUGAUGGACAUGUU